rnacentral:rRNA from 1 species
UACAGAGGUCCCAAGCGUUGUUCGGAUUCAUUGGGCGUAAAGGGUGCGUAGGCGGCGCGGUAAGUCGGGUGUGAAAUCUCGGAGCUUAACUCCGAAACUGCAUUCGAUACUGCCGUGCUUGAGGACUGGAGAGGAGACUGGAAUUUACGGUGUAGCUGGUGAAAUGCGUAGAUAUCGUAAGGAAGACCGAGUGGCGAAGGCGGGGUCUCUGGACAGUUCCUGACGCUGAGGCACGAAGGCCAGGGGAGCAAACGGG